GGCUGAAUAGCUCAGUGGGUUGAGUGCGGUGCUGACAACAAUGACAACAGCGAAGUUGCGGGUUCGAUUCCUGCUUGGUCCC
rnacentral:tRNA from 1 species